AUAUAAGAGGGGGCGGGAGACAAGCCCUAUCAGCACAUCCCAGAAAAUGGGAAACCGAAUCACCCAGGGGAUGGCAAGGAAUGACCAGAGGGAAAGUUCCAGUUCUGUCCAACAUGCACUACCAGCCCCAUUUUGGAAAAGAACAGAUUUAAUAGACCUCACCAAGACAAGAAUUGUUUUUCGUCAAAGGAAAUCAAAGGAACAAACAAGAGGCAGUGACCACCAGAGACUUCACCUUUUGGUGUAGGAAAACCCAAGCAGACAGUGUCUACAUCCAUCAAAGCCCAAUGUAUUAAAUAUUUAUUGAAUAAGAACCCACGGACUCUUCCUUACCAGAGCCUUAGAUUGCCAUGUGCGUCUGAUUGCUCCAAAGACAAGACUAUUGUGAUUUUGGCCCCAUAUGCAUUUUAGAGUAACAAGUCUUACCAGAAAAAUAAUAGCCAGCCCCAGCUUAAUUCCUAGAGAAACUCAAACCACCUUGUUAAGAACAAUCCCAGAGGAGAGUUUAUACUAAGGAGCACUACACAAUGCUGUUUGCCAUCUCUGGGCCCUCUAAAAGCAAGCCCAACCUUGGAAAAGGAAUGUCUGCCACCAGGGAAACGUGGCUGCACUGCUGGAGGAAGAACUUGAUCAUGACGGGCAAUGCUUGGAAGUAAAGAAGCAUCUGCUGCCUUGGAAAGGCUUGGUCAGGGCAAUCAUUGUCACAGGCCAUGUUUUUUCUCUGACUAUCUCUUGGAAUUUCAGAGUGACUAAGUGAUUACUACAAUUGUGAGUGCCGUGGAAUAGACCCUGUUCCAUAAAAGGUCUCCCUUGGUCCUACAGGAGGCUCUGGGAGCCCGUGCUUUAGCGAAUGUAUAGUCCCUCAUUCUUUCUCUGGGCAGCUGGUUUUCCUGAAGGUUCUGCUCCCAGCAAGCACAGUCCACAGCAGUAGCUAAAUGUGUGCAGUGCAUGUGUACUUUUAUGGUCUUCAUCAUUAUUUAUGAACUAACUUCAAAGAGAGCAAGAGGCGGUGUCUUCCAGAAGUCGGUGUGGGCAGCACCAAACCAUCCACCAUGCAUCAGAGAAAAGCCAGACAGCUGGAAGGCUCUAUUCCCAGGCCACUCUCCAGUCCUCAAACAUGUCACCAUCUCUCAUGCCUCCUUACUGGGCCCAUGCUGUCUCCUUGACCAGGAAUGUCCUCCACCCCGAUCCCAUCCCCAUAGCCCCCUUCACUGUAAGAUCUGGGCCCAGCAAAUUGCCCAGCUCCUCUUCUCUGAAUGCUUCUUUAAUGUCUCUGAGAAGGAGUUCCUUCCUCCUUUACUGUCCAUCUCUUCCACCACAUGAGGGGUUUGGGGGAGGUCUUUGAAGACAAGGGACCCUUCCUCAUUCAUAUUUGAAUACUGAGCCCAAGCACACGCCCCUAGCAUCUGCAAUACACACAUGUCAAGGUGAAUGGGGAGAUAGAUGCCAAGAUCCUUGAGCGCUGCAAAUCUUCACUGCCAACUUCAACUACUCCAAAAUAAAGUCAAAAUUUUAAAAGU
rnacentral:lncRNA from 10 species